rnacentral:lncRNA from 1 species
CUAGAACUAGAAAUAGUAUUUGACCCAGACAUCCCAUUACUGGGUAUAUACCCAAAGGAUUAUUCAUACCACUGCGCUCCAGCCUGGGCGACAGAGCAAGACUCCAUCUCAAAAUAAAUAAAUAAAUAACAAACUUUAAAUUAACCAAUUAUACAAGCUGAUAAAGAAAGGAAGUGAAAGCUACCUACAACUACUGUAUUUCAGGCAAAAGAAUCUUUGAUAUAUUGUUAAUGUUCCCCAGUGACAGCUUAGCCAUA